rnacentral:rRNA from 1 species
CAACUGCAAUUGGUGGAUCACUCGGCUCGUGUGU